UUUGGUGGUCAUAGCACGAGCAAAACACCCGGCUCCAUUCCGAACCCGGUCGUUAAGUGCCGUCGCGCCAAUGGUACUGCGUCUCAAGACGUGGGAGAGUAGGUCACCGCCAAAC
rfam:Roseovarius sp. HTCC2601 scf_1100011001366 genomic scaffold, whole genome shotgun sequence.